UUUUAAUGUACUUCAUGAAAUUUAAAUUAUUAAGAUCUCUACACCUAUCCCUAAUUGAUUUAAAUUCACAUUCAUCUAAAGGAUUACCAUAUUUCUUAAAUAAUAUUCUGUACUUGUUUUUUAAGCUUUUUUUAAUUGACCUGAAUACCAUAUUGGGUAAGUAUUUUGACGUUAAACAACUUUUUUUGAAUGUGUAUUUUUAUAAAUUUACCUAGUUAUGUAUAAAACCGUUUUACCUUAAUUAUUGUCAACAUACUUUGUAUAUAUUAAAUAAUUCUUCCCUAUUUGUUUCU
rnacentral:misc_RNA from 1 species